rnacentral:rRNA from 1 species
UUUACAUGAGAGUUUGAUCCUGGCUCAGGACG